rnacentral:rRNA from 1 species
CCUACGGGAGGCAGCAGUGAGGAAUUUUGGGCAAUGGGCGCAAGCCUGACCCAGCGACGCCGCGUGGAGGAUGAAGGCCUUCGGGUCGUAAACUCCUGUUCUGAGGGAAGAAAACGGGGUGAGCGAAUAACUCAUUCCGCUGACGGUACCUCAGGAGUAAGCUCCGGCUAAUUACGUGC